rnacentral:tRNA from 1 species
GAAAAAGUAUGCAAGAACUGCUAAUUCAUGCCCCCAUGUGUAAAAACAUGGCUUUUUCA